UACGUAGGCAGCAAGCGUUGUUCGGAGUUACUGGGCGUAAAGGGUGUGUAGGCGGUUCUUUAAGUUUGGUGUGAAAUCUCCCGGCUCAACUGGGAGGGUGCGCCGAAUACUGAGGGACUAGAGUACGGGAGAGGAAAGUGGAAUUCCUGGUGUAGCGGUGAAAUGCGUAGAUAUCAGGAGGAACACCGGUGGUGUAGACGGCUCUCUGGACCGCCACUGACGCUGAGACACGAAAGCGUGGGUAGCAAACAGG
rnacentral:rRNA from 1 species